AUGCGCUCGCUCUGGGCUCCCUGGCCUCUGCUGAGAGCCUCGCGCUCUAACUGCUCCUGGAGUCCACGGGGCACUGCUCAGAAGAUGCACUUGCGCACGUCAGCUCUCUGCGCCAGCCUCGCGCUCCAACAGCCGCUGAGCACCUACUCGGGUGAUGCACAUGCGCGAGCGCAGAGGCCUAGCCGACAGUUGAGGCCGACCUGGACGUUGCAGAGUUCGCUGCUUAAAUCAAAGAAGCCCGAGGAACACUUCUCAUGUAUCUGAAAAGCGUCAUCCAGAGCCACAGAGAAGUAACUCAUGUCCCUGAAAACUGAGUCCUGUUCUACCUGCUUUCACCUUGGUGGAGUCCCAGCUGUGCAUAAUAACAAGUGGAAGAGGCCCUCGGGAUGGAGAAGAGCAACAGGACGUGGAUGGAGAAGAAAACGUAACCCGGCAGGAGACAGAACCCUACACCCCUGCAGAUACAAAGCCCUUGUUAUGGAAAGAGGGAGUCUGGCUUUUGCCCAAAACUUGAAACAGCUUACACCAGCUUUGCCCCCAGUCUGAUUCCCAUGAAGGCUGAGUAAACAGAUAGAUCAUCCAACUCCGUUCAGGGUCUCUACUCCAGGCGCCUGGUCUGGCAAAUCCAACUCAGGGUGGAGCUAUGCUUCUGGUGCCAUCAUCAGUUUUUCUCUCCUCUCUCAAGACUGUUGUCACAUGGCUUUUCCAGGGAGAUUUCCAUGUAAUUUAAAUGUUUUCCCCGUCUUUUUAUUUUGGUUCUCUGUAUAACCACAGCAUGUGCUCUGUGCCAUCCUUCUGUUUAUUUAGGCCUUUAGAUCUCUGCCAUCUGGAUUUGCCAUCUCUUUCCCUACAUUUCUCUUGCCUUUCUCAGCCCCGGUGACUGUAGGUGCCUUUACCCUGUGGGGUGUAGGGCUGUCCAAGCCAUAAAUGCCUCCUAAGGAAAGACCCAUAGUUCCUGUGAUUGCUCCCUUGAAAAGUGCCUUCAAUGCAGAUUGUAUUAUUAUUCAGGCCUGUAGAGGCAAAUAAAUCAAGAGACUCUGGAAGGAAAAACAUAAUUUAUCCAUGUUUUCAGAGGGAGGGGCUGUACCUCACUUCUCAGGCCCUAAGGGAGAAUCACUAGGUCCAGGGUGGGUUGGGAGAUAAAAGGAACAAUGGAAAGAGGUGGGCAGUGCCUUCAUUGUGGCUUUCAGGGAAAGGAACCCACAAGGCAGAGGAAACAAGCUAAACAGGUGUAGGAUCCCUGAGCUCCAGCUCUGGGCAUGGCCUGAAGCCAUCCGCUAAUUGACUCAGGGUAGCUAGAGCAGGAGAAUAAGGCCUGGGGUGGAAGAGGCAGAUUUGGGGAGAGGAUUGAGUUGGUUGGGUCAAAGAGCACACUUCUGGGAAAACUUUUCUGUCUGUUGGAAUUAACACACCCCGAGAAAGUCAGUUCUGCAGAGUCAGCAGGACUGUGGGCAUCAGAGCACCAACAAUAUAGACAGAGAAGACCUAAGCCAAGGAAGCUUAGAGAAGACAAUGCUUUCACCUUGAAGGAGGUGGGUUAGCAGUAUAGAAAGUACAUCAAGUAAACUCAUGACACUCCCGUUGCAGAAAAGAGGAUGUGGCGACUGGAGAAGGAGCAGGUGGCAGGAGCUGCCACAGAAACUGUGUGCUUCCCUGAAGACAGGAAGAAGGCCCUGCUGGGAAGAUGGAGACAAAGACUUCAUACCUUGUGAAAUCACUGAGCUCAGCUUAGACCUCUGGGUUCCAGACCCCAUCCUCCAUCCUUAAAGCUAUUGCCUGCAGCUGAGUGCAGGGUAGACUGCUGUGAGACCAGCAGGAUGAAAGCCAGGGCUGGGUCAAAACACGUGGUCUUGGACUGGCCCAGUUGGAUUGAGAAGAGAGCUGAAUGACCAAGGAAAGAUUUGUGAUCGCAACAUUUUAAAGAAAUCAUGGCCGUCAUAAUGCAUAAGACAGACAACAGGGGAAAUAGAAUAAAGAAAAUUGUUAGAUAGAAAAUAGCUGAGUGCAUGAAUGGAUGAGGAUCCAGAGGUGAAAAUUAAAAACAAUAAGGAAGUCUAAGAAUGUUUUAUGGAGUGGCCACCAAACUUGGUAGCACUGGGUGCAAAUGAGAAAGUUUCAUUACAAGGCCUCAAGUCUUUGGAGUCUGCAUUACCAGGACAAUGCUAACACCACAGAGUCAGUAAAGGGGGCACAAUAGAGCUGUCCCCAGGCCAGCACAAAAACGUACCACUUGGCUUGGCUCUUUGUGCAGGCUCACAGAAGUCAAUUCGAUGUCAUACAUGAUGAUCUCAGCCAACAUCAGGGUUGCAUCAGGAGGCUGAAGUAGGAGAAUUGAGAGCCCGAGAACAGUCUGAGCAAUUUAGCAUGACCUUGUCUCAAAAACAAGAGAAAAACAUUUCCAAAGGACUGGAAGUGUAACAUGUACAGCACUUAGCCAGCAUGGAGCCCAUGUCCCUCUGUUCCAAAGGAAAAUAAAAACUGUAUGACUUGCUUGUGAUCAGAAAAAGGAAUAUUUUUGUGAUUUAAGAAAAUAUUUUUGUGAUUUUUUUGAAGUAAGAGGAAGAAGCUAAUUAAUUGAGCAUCAGUUCCCUGGAUUCCCACAUCACCUCAUUUUUUAAUAAUAGCCAUGCUUAAUUAUUAUUUUCACAAUUUAAUUAUGAAGAAAUUGAGGCCAAAAGAUCAAAAUGUACUUGCGGCCACAGAGCUGUAAGUGAUGGAGCUGAUAACACCACAAACACAUUUACUAUGAGGACAAACAAGUGGGGAAAUGAUGUUUUUAAGAGAUCUAAACUCUUUUUGUAAUCUGGCCUCAAAUCUUUACCUACUACUUAAAUGGUCUUCAGAGCUCCUAAAUUAGUCAGCGACUCAUUUUACUCCCGUAUUUAUAAAUAGAACUGACCAGUUUUACCAGGAUGGAAUACAAAACAGAACAGAUAAUCUCUAUAGGGAUAAAGUUAUUUUUUGAAUAACCUUUACUGAAGAAACUAGAUCAAAAGUUUUCAUGACAUUUCAGAGAAGAAUUUAUUUUGAAACAGCAGGAUUGUGCAGCACACGGGGCAGUAGGCUGGGUUAGUCAAGAAUGGAGCAUCAAUGUGUUUAUCUCCCAGACUGGAUGUGAACCAGCCCACCAGAGGGUCCAGCUGGUGGAGCUGGUAACCAGGCCCUGGUUUACUGUGAACUUUCUCAAAGGAGAAUGCAACCACCAGAGUAAUCUUUGGUCCACACUCCAAGCACCAGCCACACAGCCAAAGAUUACCAGUGAGACAUGUCCAGCCAUCCAUGAUAUGUGCCCAACACUUUCCUUAGCACAGUCCCUGAGUGCCACACAGACUACAUUUCCCUGAACCCAGAGGUAGUAUCUGUCACAUAACCUUGGUGGUCCCUGCUGCCUCCUGCCUGGCCUGGUUCACAAGAUGCCUGGUUUACUGUGUCUGCGAGGAGCUUAGUUCCCAGGUGCUUGUUAUCAGAUGUACCAAUUUUAGCCCAACACUUUCUGGGUCAGCUGAUGGACCUCAUUAUUGUUAUUGCUUUGUUUCUGAAGGUAAUGUACUCUAUGUGUUGCCUAUACCCUCCAUGACAAACACCAUCACAUGGUGACUGAAAACAAUAGCCAUAUUCUUUCAUAUUCAGAAGCCAGAAGUCUAGAGUCAGGUGGGCAGGCUGUGUCUGCUCUGGAGACUUCAGGGAAAGAUCCUUCUUGCCUCUUUCAGCCUCUGUGGUCCCAGGUAUUCCAUGAAACAGCAUCAUUCCAGCCUCUGCUACAUAUUUAUGGCAUCUUCUGUGUUUCUUAGCCUCCAAGUCCCUAAAAAAGAUGCCAGCAAUUGGGGCCAGGACCUACUGUCACCUAGCAUGGCCUCAUCUUUACUUGAUUGCCUCUGGAGAGACUCUGUUUCUAAAUAAGGUCACAUUCACAGAUACUCAGCAGGGUUAGGACAAAAACCUACUUCCUCAGAGGACACAGUUCAGCCCAUAAAGGGCCACAGUCCCCUGACUGGCCUAGGAUGGAGAACCCAGCUUCUACUGUGCCUCACGCAAAGGCACUUGCUGGUAAAUUCAGCCUGCUAUUUACUCCAGAGAAACAGGACAGAGCCUGUGGAUAUGACAGACAUUGUUUUCUGUGUCUUUCAUUCACCUAGCUACUUUUUUUUUUUAAACUGGAGGAAGAGGGCAGGAUGAGUGAGUUCUCUGCUAACCCAACUGAGUCCUGUGUCCCUGUGCUGCCAUGACCUGGAGCCAGUUCCUUGACAGCUGCAUUUGAAGCUCUGGGUGGUCACCAGCCUGCCCCCAAAAAGAGCAGAGCAAGAGUCCUUGGAGCUCCUCCCCACUCUUUGCCCAGGACAUGAGGACCAGAGUCCAGGCAGAAAGCUCGCUCUCAUCAAGGCAGCCAUGGGCUACUGUCGGCUCAAGGACUGAGAGCAAUGGUUCCCAUCUUCUCAGAAGAAAAGAAUUCCCUGUGGGAUUUAAACUGUCAGGCCCUGCAUGGACCUGGAUGUCUGAACUCCCAGGAGGAACCUGGUGCUGUAAAUUGACAUUUCUCUCAUGAUCCUCUUUACCCGAGGCCUUGGGAGACAUCCCCUUAAAGAAGUCCCUCACCUCCCAGGCCUGCCAUAUGCCCAUUGUCACCCAGACAGUCUGUUUCAGGCACUGGGCUCUGUCACAGUAAUGGCAGCACCCAUACUAGGCCGUUCCUGUUGUUGAGUGCCUGGCCUGACUGUAGCUCUCAUUUUGUGAGUGUGCCCUGUGUCUUCCAGCAGUUACUGAGCUUGCAGUAAAGAGGGCUGACAGUAGGUACACAUAAGUACAUGUGUAUAUGUGUGUGUGCACAUAUAUGUAUAUAUCCAUGUGUGUGUGCAUGUGCACACACACGUGACUGUGUGUGUGCCCAUGUAUAUGACCAACUUGGAAGAGGAGAGGUAAUGAUGGAAAAGGAAGGAAGAUGACCACCACUGCCUGCCGGGGGCGGGCUGUAUCAGUUGCAGAUCACCAGAUCACUUGUAAAGGAAUACACAUGAUAAAUAUUUUGUGUGCAGACUUGAAAUCAGGAGGCCCAGUCCUUGUUCUAAAGGAGGAAGGCACAGAGAUGGAGAGUUAAACUCCAAGGGAUUCACAUUUUAGUGCUCUGGCAAACAGAGAAAGGUGGCCACAGGGGAAGUCUCUCAGUGGCAAAAGUUCACUUGAUAUUCUGGAGGACUGUGGGCAGACCAUGGGCCCCAUCUGUGCAUUGAGUUAGCAGCUUGCCUGCUGUGUUGCUACAUCAUGCAGGAGAUGGUGAAGAUGGUGAUCAAACACAAGAUGCCUGGCAGAAACUUGGAUUUUGCAUGAAGGUUACUACACUGUGCAGUUUAUUUGAAAUUCAGGUUGAGCUGGGAAGCCUGCACAUUGGUAUGCCCAACAUGCCGGCUCUGCCUUUGUAGGAUGGAGACAAACUGUGUGUGUGUGCAGCCCCUACACACACUCAUACCUUCUCCCAUCCUGGAGGCUUGGCAUGAUUGCGGGGCAGUUCCAGUAGACUUUCCAGACGCCUGGAGUCUCAACAUGUUUAGCACUAAUGGCAAGAAAGAAAGAGGGAGAGAGGUCCAACCCUGCCCCAUCCUGGGUGCUCCACUGACCAAACCAUGGAGCCUCUCAUGGGUGAGGAGAUGGUGCCAUACAUUGUGGGAGGGUAAUACAUAUUUAUCAAAGCUCAUAAGCAGGGAAGGAGAGGAAGGGGCCCCAGCUGUCAUUUUAAUUAUUUGUCUGAUGGUGAACUCUUUCCAUGGCUUUAGCCAUUGGGUUCUCCACACUAUAGUUUUCCAUCCUGUGAGGCGCCCAGGCUGCAGCUAGCCAAGUUCCUGGCCCCUGUUGGUCCUCACUGCAUUACUCUUUGCCUGGCCAGCAUCCCAGUAACAGACAGAGUGGAUAUGACAUGGUCACCACACAGUCAGAGAUCACCAAAAGGACUGAAAUAGACAGAAGCCUGGGCCUUGAUCCUGUUGUUCCAUAAAAACAUGAUUUAUGACUUUCUGGAAACCAAAACCAUUUUUGCUAAAAACUGUAACUCUUAGGCCUACAGAUACCCAAUAGGUAAUUAAAAGUAGAACAGAGCUUAACUUUCCAUUUUUUAUCUUUUGCUACUAAAGCUUUGGGUCACAUUCUUUCUUACCUCUGAACAUGUUAAUCAUUUAGGGAGUGUCUGCCUAGAAGUUGGCAAAACAAGGUUGAUCACCACCAAGUUCACAGAAUGUGACAACACCAAGGGGAGAGAUUUACAGGGCCAUUGAACUACCCCCAGAAGUCUCCAGCCAUUGUUCAAUUCCCGUGAUCACCGGGAUUCCAAGAAAAGCAAGAGUCCCACAUGACUGAAACCACCACAGAGACAACCCUUUCAUGGAAAGGAAGCCAGCCCUCAGCCAUGAGGAUUCUGGAGCUAGGAAACCAGGACUGAGAUACUAUGAUGACAACCAGACCCCAGCCCAUCAGCUGCCGCUGCCUGAGUGGGCAGCCAGUAUGAACCUUUAUCAGAGCACAUCCCUCCAGCUUGAAUCCUUGCUGAUUUUUCUUACUCUCCCUUGUUAAGGGCCAGCCUAAUCUUUGUCAGUUCCUCAAACUAGUGUCUCUUAACCAUUUUCUCUGACUCUCUAA